AACGAUUACGCUUCAUUUGGGGAUGAUAUUGGGAUCGUCACCUGCAAUGCACUUUAUGAUGGAGUUCUUAGUGGUAAAUACAGUAGAGAUAUCCCCCCGGUUCUCGGCUCGAUCGUCGCGGCAUCGGUUUAAAGAACUUUGGCUCUCCUACCGAAAUUCGGAAGCUGGUUGAUCAUCUGAGAACAGCCGGAAGGGGUAUGAAAGUAGCGGGUGCUGCGGAAGUUGCUGUUGGUUAUUGCUUGGCUAACCGGAGGGUUUCUUCGGUGAUCAUAGGAGCAUCCACUCUGAUGCAAGCUGAAAGAAGCCUUCAUGCAAUCGAAACAUACCGUAACAUCAAUUUGCCGGAAACUAAAACAAUUGCCUCGGAGAUUUCCAUUUGGUAGUAGUAUGGGUUUCAUAUUAUACAACUGGGCUUAAAAUGUUUAGGUUUGAAAAAAAUUGGUUUGCAAUAUAUGAAUUUGGGGCAUGAAGUUUCUUUAA